UGUUGGUGAUGUGGAUAGUCUCGGAGAAGAGAUUUAAACCUCUUCCAUGCAUGACAUAAGUUCUCACUUGUCUUUUGCUUAAAACUCAAAAUCUCACUAUACAACCU
rfam:Capsicum annuum cultivar Zunla-1 chromosome 10, whole genome shotgun sequence